CAUGCUUAUUGGUCAUUUAUGCAGACAAACGCCCAGCAUCGACAUCCUCAUGGCUGGUCAGCAGCAGAGUGGCACGGCUCACACUGCAUGACAGUCCAGCUCUAGCUAGCAAUGCUACCAGGUGCAUGCUGGUCUACGGCGAAACAACGCCACCGGGACAUUCAUGCCAACCCCAACCCCAAAAAACAUGUGCCACAAGCUAUAGCUUAUGUCGACGCACGUUGGCCACGUGAAGCCACCUAAAAGUGCUGUGAGGGAGCUGUGACACCAAGAAUUGCUUGGAUGCAUUCAACACAUAGGGGAUCACAGCCGGGAGCGCAUAAGCAGCACAGCUCCCAUAUGUUGAGCUCUCACGUAUGCCGGUCAUCAGCUGAAAUAGAUUUGGUACUUUAAAAGAGAGAAGCCAGAGGCCAGCUAGAUAGCGGGUGGGUUUCCAUCCUCGGUCACUUGCUCGCUAGACCCUCUGCGUGAGUCCCUUUGACAGCCAGCUACCCACGCAGCAGCCAGCCACCCCUUGACCCAGGUUUUGGGCGGGGCCCCAGCGUGAAGCGCCCAGGGGGCCCCCGCCCUAUAGUAUUGCCCAUGUCCAUGUGGCCGUGUGUGUGUGUGUGUGUGUGUAACGGACCAAACAUAAUACCUCGCCCGGCUGAAACACGUUAUUGGUAAUAUAUUGCAUUCUCUAUUGCAAGGUAUCUCGCCUGUAGCCAACAAGCAUCGUAUGGGCACUGCCUUCAUGCUGUACGGCACUGUCUUCCGUGUGUGUUCGGGCUGCAGCACCAGACCGCAAAGCCAACAGGCUGAAGGCUGGCAAGCUGCGAUUGUGUCUGCUGAGCGGACUUGGCGGCCGAGCCCCUGCUGUGUGCCGGUAACGGCACCUCAGGCUCAUACAUUUACGCCCAAGCAAGGGGCUGUCGGUGGCAGGUCGUGGACCUCCCGACUACGUGUAACAGCCAAUGACUCUUCACCAUGUCUGCUAGGUUCCAGGGAGACACCGUCUCUUCAAAAGGUUAUGAGCCCCAGCGUCCUGCCUCCCGUGCUCUGACAAGCAUAGCUCCCACCGCAUCAGCACUGCUGCAACAAGCACAGCUCUCACCACGUUGGCACUACCCAUCAAUUAUCACACAUGCCGCCCUAGCACCGGCCUGUACGGAUAUAUGCAGGGGGGGCCCGCCCUUUUCCGGCUCUGAGGAAAGCCGGCGGGCUUGCAGAGGUAGCCCAAUAACGAAAAUGCUACAGCUCCAAAAUAUAUGUACAGUAGGCGUGGUAGGUGAGCCCCGGAACCCGGCAUGCACUGUGCACCGAUGACCUAGAGCACAACUGUUGCACACAACGCGUCUGCUGCGACUGCUGCGUUUGUCGCUCUUGUCGCCAUUGUAGCGGCUGUCGCCAUUGUAGCGGCUGUCGCCGUUGUCGCCGUUGUCGCCGUUGUCGCGACUGUCGCCGUUGUGGCAGUUGUCGCCGUUGUGGCAGUUGUCGCCGUUGUCGCCGUUGUCGCCGUUGUGGCAGUUGUAGCGGUUGUGGCUGUUAUUGCAUCAGGGACGACUGUCGUACAGCUGCAGGAAAAUGGGGCCCCUUAGCUCAGCUGGUUAGAGCGUGGUGCUACUAGCCAUGGGCACGCCAAGGUCAUCGGUUCGAUCCCGAUAGGGGCCACAGAGGAGCGGAAAUCUUGCUGCUUAAGGAGGAGGAGGUGGCACAACCGAAUGUGUAUGGGCGGGGAUGCUGCUCAUGUGCAUGACGAUGCGGAUAAGUGGCAGCUCCAGGUGAAGCAAAAGGACUGAGACGGGCUCUCGCAGCCCAUGCUUAUUGGUCAUUUAUGCAGACAAACGCCCAGCAUCGACAUCCUCAUGGCUGGUCAGCAGCAGAGUGGCACGGCUCACACUGCAUGACAGUCCAGCUCUAGCUAGCAAUGCUACCAGGUGCAUGCUGGUCUACGGCGAAACAACGCCACCGGGACAUUCAUGCCAACCCCACCCCCAAAAAACAUGUGCCACAAGCUAUAGCUUAUGUCGACGCACGUUGGCCACGUGAAGCCACCUAAAAGUGCUGUGAGGGAGCUGUGACACCAAGAAUUGCUUGGAUGCAUUCAACACAUAGGGGAUCACAGCCGGGAGCGCAUAAGCAGCACAGCUCCCAUAUGUUGAGCUCUCACGUAUGCCGGUCAUCAGCUGAAAUAGAUUUGGUACUUUAAAAGAGAGAAGCCAGAGGCCAGCUAGAUAGCGGGUGGGUUUCCAUCCUCGGUCACUUGCUCGCUAGACCCUCUGCGUGAGUCCCUUUGACAGCCAGCUACCCAUGCAGCAGCCAGCCACCCCUUGACCCAGGUUUUGGGCGGGGCCCCAGCGUGAAGCGCCCAGGGGGGCCCCGCCCUGUAGGAUUGCCCAUGUCCGUGUGGCCGUGUGUGUGUGUGUGUGUAACGGACCAAACAUAAUACCUCGCCCGGCUGAAACGCGUUAUUGGUAAUAUAUUGCAUUCCCUAUUGCAAGGUAUCUCGCCUGUAGCCAACAAGCAUCGUAUGGGCACUGCCGUCAUGCUGUACGGCACUGUCUUCCGUGUGUGUUCGGGCUGCAGCACCAGACCGCAAAGCCAACAGGCUGAAGGCUGGCAAGCUGCGAUUGUGUCUGCUGAGCGGACUUGGCGGCCGAGCCCCUGCUGUGUGCCGGUAACGGCACCUCAGGCUCAUACAUUUACGCCCAAGCAAGGGGCUGUCGGUGGCAGGUCGUGGACCUCCCGACUACGUGUAACAGCCAAUGACUCUUCACCAUGUCUGCUAGGUUCCAGGGAGACACCGUCUCUUCAAAAGGUUAUGAGCCCCAGCGUCCUGCCUCCCGUGCUCUGACAAGCAUAGCUCCCACCGCAUCAGCACUGCUGCAACAAGCACAGCUCUCACCACGUUGGCACUACCCAUCAAUUAUCACACAUGCCGCCCUAGCACCGGCCUGUACGGAUAUAUGCAGGGG
rnacentral:lncRNA from 1 species